rnacentral:lncRNA from 1 species
CUCGUCCUUGGUUUAUGGUCUCAAAAUCUGCUGGGCGAGCAUAGCGGCCAUGGCACUUUUCCCUUGCCCUCGAACGUUAAUCAACUCAAAACAUCAACUGCAUAGUCUACACCAAAGAAGACGAGGAGUUCUAAAUUUGUUGAAGGUAAGGUCCUUGCAGUCCAAUUAGCUGUCAUACUGGGGAAAUCGGUGACUUAUGAGGACUUAUCUCUCAUAUUGUGGGAGGACUCAACUCAUCAUACACUCCUCUGGUAAACUCUAAAUCUGUUUUUAGGAUCCUAGUCAAGUUUCCUGCGUUGUCCCCUAAUAUCAUCAUAUUUACUUUUAAAAAAAAAAAAAAAAAGUAAAUUUGAAAGCCAAAACAUUAGAUGAUCUGGAUAGUUAUACUCUCAUUAUUAAAUACCGUUUCCACUUAAAAAUAAAAUAAAAUCAUCCAAGAUAAAGCAUUAUCCAGUUGCAGAUACAACAUUUAUCAUUACAAGCAAAUAUCAGGUAGAUACUGUCUAGGCUUAGACACUUGUGUCGACAAUAGCAUCUAAAUCUCAUCACUGCUAUCAGCUACAUGAAAUUCUCCAUGGAUAUCGGCUUCCUCAUGUCGUGACUUGGGAUUCCGAAUACAAAUUAAAACCAAAAUGUACAAAAAAUUUGCAGCACCUAAUGUAGCUAGAGUCCAAUAGUAAUUGUCCAAACGACUCCUGUUCAAAGUGUCCUGAAACCAAUUUGGUUUUCCUCCUCUCUCACUGAGCUUUCCUGCUAAAUAAACUGAUAGAAAACCAUUCGUAAUUCCUAGAUCCAAUAUUCCUUCCGUGAAAUAAUUGAGAUACUUUUAUGCUUGAUGGAGGAAUUUGAUAAGAAAAGAGACGCUUUAUACUUCCUUCAAAAUAUGAUUCGAGGCCAGCUAGGAGGAAAAACUGUGGAACCAACCAAAUUAUACUCAUUGGUAUCCUUUCUUCGGGCUUGUCCAGUAAACCAUGGCUAAUAACAAUUUGUAACCUUCGACCUUCGACUAAGCAGCAGUUAUACAACAUAAUACCGAGCAUAUUCGUUUGUUUUUUGAAGUAGUGAUUUCACAAUAUUAUGUAGCAUUGGAAGGAACAGAAAAGGAAGUUUAAAAAAUGCUAACUUGGGAUUCAAGUGUUUGCUUGUAUGAGGAAGUAGCUGUUUCCAAUGAAGUCACCAGCCCACAUAUUAUGAAGGUCAUCCACAUAGGGAACGUCCGAAUGGCAAUUUUUUGUUUCUUCGACUUGCGUCACCGUAUAAAGACUCCAUUUAUUAUUCUCUUGUUCUAUUCCACUUAUGUUUGGCAAUAUGAUAGCAGCCUUGUCUAAGCACUUGUUAUUUUAUCAACAUAUAUAUGUAACGACCAUAAGAAAGAAAAAAUAGAUAUCUAGGCCUUCUUAAUUUCUUGACAUGAGUCGGAAUGUUUGAUAGGGCUUUUACUGAGGUUUCUUGUAAAAGAGCUUCCUAAGC